UGCUACCGGACCUAGCGGCGGACGGGUGAGUAAUGCUUAGGAAUCUGCCUAUUAGUGGGGGACAACAUCUCGAAAGGGAUGCUAAUACCGCAUACGUCCUACGGGAGAAAGCAGGGGAUCUUCGGACCUUGCGCUAAUAGAUGAGCCUAAGUCGGAUUAGCUAGUUGGUGGGGUAAAGGCCUACCAAGGCGACGAUCUGUAGCGGGUCUGAGAGGAUGAUCCGCCACACUGGGACUGAGACACGGCCCAGACUCCUACGGG
rnacentral:rRNA from 1 species